GCCCAGAUGGGAUUAGCUAGUAGGUGGGGUAACGGCUCACCUAGGCGACGAUCCCUAGCUGGUCUGAGAGGAUGACCAGCCACACUGGAACUGAGACACGGUCCAGACUCCUACGGGAGGCAGCAGUGGGGAAUAUUGCACAAUGGGCGCAAGCCUGAUGCAGCCAUGCCGCGUGUGUGAAGAAGGCCUUCGGGUUGUAAAGCA
rnacentral:rRNA from 1 species